AUGCAAGUGACAGUUGAGCGCUAACGUUCAUAAUUUCACAGUUACGAUUUGCUUAUUGUGAGCAAAAGUGACAAAAACAGUUCAAACUGACAGCACCCGGCGACCUAUGACCUCAGAGCCACAAACAGUAGGCCGUGAACACAGCAAAUAAAAGAGGCCAAAGAGACAUACCUCAGGAGACUCCUGGAUCUCAGGGACACAACAAAAUCAAGAUCAAUAUUGGCCAGUGGAGGAAUGUAACUAAGUAUAUUUAUAUUUAACCACUAUACUUUAGUACAGUUUUGAAAUCCUCAUACUUCACAAAUUCUUUCAUAAUAUUAUAAAUUAAUAUUUUUGCUUGUAGUAGAGUAUUUCUGUAUUCUGGUAUUUUUAACUAUUGCUUAAGUAAAGAAUCUGCAUACUUUUUCCACUACAGACAGUUUGGUGAGCCAUUACAAACUCAUACUGUGCCGCCAAAGUAUUUUUUAUUCUUUUUUUCAAAAAAAAAGGGUAGAAAACCAUCUGAAAUUAUGUAGAAUAUAUUUCUAUUUGAUGAAAUUAUGUUGUUAUAGAGUAUUUAUGGGGUCAUUUGUUUGAACAUCUGACUGAGUAAACGUCAUAUAAUGUAGCUGCAUAAUGCUGUAUUUAUUCAGUAUGAUAUUAUCUGACAAUGUGGAAGAAAAUUAUUUUAACAAGUACUUAAGGGUAAAUUUGUUCAUAUUGACAAUGCAGGUAUACAUACUGUAUAUUGUU